AAGCCCUGGAAACGGGGUCUAAUACCGGAUGGGACUGCCGGCCGCAUGGUCUGGUGGUGGAAAGCGUUUAGUGGUGCAGGAUGAGCCCGCGGCCUAUCAGCUUGUUGGUGGGGUGAGUGCCUACCAAGGCGACGACGGGUAGCCGGCCUGAGAGGGCGACCGGCCACACUGGGACUGAGACACGGCCCAGACUCCUACGGGAGGCAGCAGUGGGGAAUAUUGCACAAUGGGCGGAAGCCUGAUGCAGCGACGCCGCGUGGGGGAUGACGGCCUUCGGGUUGUAAACCUCUUUCAGCAGGGUAGAAGCCGCAAGUGACGGUACCUGCAGAAGAAGCACCGGCUAACUACGUGCCAGCAGCCGCGGUAAUACGUAGGGUGCAAGCGUUGUCCGGAAUUAUUGGGCGUAAAGAGCUCGUAGGCGGCGUGUCACGUCGGAUGUGAAAGCCCGGGGCUUAACCCCGGGUUUGCAUUCGAUACGGGCAGGCUAGAGUUCGGUAGGGGAGAUCGGAAUUCCUGGUGC
rnacentral:rRNA from 1 species